rnacentral:rRNA from 1 species
AUAUUGGGCAAUGGGCGCAAGCCUGACCCAGCAACGCCGCGUGAAGGAAGAAGGCUUUCGGGUUGUAAACUUCUUUUCUCAGGGACGAAGCAAGUGACGGUACCUGAGGAAUAAGCCACGGCUAACUACGUGCCAGCCGCCGCGGUAAUACGUAGGUGGCAAGCGUUAUCCGGAUUUACUGGGUGUAAAGGGCGUGUAGGCGGGGAGGCAAGUCAGAUGUGAAAACCACGGGCUCAACCUGUGGCCUGCAUUUGAAACUGUUUUUCUUGAGUGCUGGAGAGGCAAUCGGAAUUCCGUGUGUAGCGGUGAAAUGCGUAGAUAUACGGAGGAACACCAGUGGCGAAGGCGGAUUGCUGGACAGUAACUGACGCUGAGGCGCGAAAGCGUGGGGAGCAAACAG